rnacentral:rRNA from 1 species
CGGGGGGAGCAAGCGUUGUUCGGAUUUACUGGGCGUAAAGGGCGCGUAGGCGGCGCAACAAGUCACUUGUGAAAUCUCCGGGCUUAACCCGGAGCGGCCAAGUGAUACUGUCGUGCUAGAGUGCGGAAGGGGCUACUGGAAUUCUCGGUGUAGCGGUGAAAUGCGUAGAUAUCGGGAGGAACACCUGCGGCGAAGGCGGGUAGCUGGGCCGACACUGACGCUGAUGCGCGAAAGCCAGGGGAGCGAACGGGAUUAGAUACCCCGGUAGUCCUGGCCUUAAACGAUGGAUACUUGGUGUCCGGGGUUACGUAGUCCCCGGGUGCCGGCGCUAACGCAUUAAGUAUCCCGCCUGGGGAGUACGGUCGCAAGACUG